rnacentral:rRNA from 1 species
AGAGUUUGAUCCUGGCUCAGGACGAACGCUGGCGGCGUGCUUAACACAUGCAAGUCUACGAGAAUGAGGUAGCAAUAUCUCUAGUAAAGUGGCGCAAGGGUGAGUAAUAUGUAAGUAAUCUACCUAUAGGUUUGGAAUAACUCUUCGAAAGAGGGGAUAAUACCAAAUAAUGCAGCGGCAUCACAUGAUGAUGUUGUUAAAGUCUACGGGAUGCCUAUAGAUGAGCUUGCAGCCGAUUAGCUAGUUGGUAGGGUAAUGGCCUACCAAGGCGACGAUCAGUAGCCGGCCUGAGAGGGUGAUCGGCCACACUGGAACUGAGACACGGUCCAGACUCCUACGGGAGGCAGCAGUGGGGAAUUUUGCGCAAUGGACGAAAGUCUGACGCAGCAACGCCGCGUGGGUGAUGAAGGUCUUCGGAUUGUAAAACCCUGUCGUCAGGGACGAAGGUUGGGAUCCUAAUACGAUUUCAGCUUGACGGUACCUGGAGAGGAAGCCCCGGCUAACUCUGUGCCAGCAGCCGCGGUAAUACAGAGGGGGCAAGCGUUAUUCGGAAUUAUUGGGCGUAAAGGGCGCGUAGGCGGUUUUGUAAGUAGGAUGUGUAAUCCCCGAGCUCAACUUGGGAACUGCAUCCUAGACUGCAAGGCUAGAGUACUGGAGAGGGUGGUAGAAUUCCACGUGUAGCGGUGAAAUGCGUAGAGAUGUGGAGGAAUACCAGUGGCGAAGGCGGCCACCUGGGUUAACACUGACGCUCAUGCACGAAAGCGUGGGGAGCAAACCAGGAUUAGAUACCCUGGUAGUCC